GUCUAUGGCCAUACCGCCCUGAACGCACCCGAUCUCGUCUGAUCUCAGAAGCUAAGCAGGGUUGGACCUGAUUAGUACUUGGAUGG
rnacentral:rRNA from 1 species